AAGUCGUAACAAGGUUUCCGUAGGUGAACCUGCGGAAGGAUCAUUACCGAGUUGAUUCGAGCUCCGGCUCGACUCUCCCACCCAAUGUGUACCUACCUCUGUUGCUUUGGCGGGCCGCGGUCCUCCGCACCGGCGCCCUUCGGGGGGCUGGCCAGCGCCCGCCAGAGGACCAUAAAACUCCAGUCAGUGAACUUCGCAGUCUGAAAAACAAGUUAAUAAACUAAAACUUUCAACAACGGAUCUCUUGGUUCUG
rnacentral:misc_RNA from 1 species